rnacentral:rRNA from 1 species
UACGGAGGAUGCGAGCGUUAUCCGGAUUUACUGGGUUUAAAGGGUGCGUAGGCGGGCUAUUAAGUCAGUGGUGAAAUCCCGGGGCUCAACCUCGGAACUGCCAUUGAUACUAUUAGCCUUGAAUUAUGUUGAGGUUGGCGGAAUAUAACAUGUAGCGGUGAAAUGCAUAGAUAUGUUAUAGAACACCGAUUGCGAAGGCAGCUGGCUAAACAUAUAUUGACGCUGAGGCACGAAAGCGUGGGUAGCGAACAGG